GCUGGGAGUGGUGGUGAACACCUGUAAUCCCAGUGAUUCAGAAGGCUGAGGCAGGAGGAUUGCAAGUUCAAGGUCAGCCUCACAAUUUAGCAAGACUCUCAAUAACUUAGUGAGACCCUGCCUCAA
rnacentral:sRNA from 1 species